rnacentral:pre_miRNA from 1 species
AAGUAACUUGUUACGGCAUUAAAAGUAAAUCUAUUGUGGGUUUAGAAACAUAAGUCUAUUUGGAAAUUAACCCCACAAUGGAUUUACUUCUAAUGUUGUGACAAGUUACUU